CAACUUGAGAGUUUGAUCCUGGCUCAGAACGAACGCUGGCGGCAGGCUUAACACAUGCAAGUCGAGCGCCCCCCCGCAAGGGGAGCGGCAGACGGGUGAGUAACGCGUGGGAACGUACCAUUUGCUACGGAAUAACUCAGGGAAACUUGUGCUAAUACCGUAUGUGCCCGAAAGGGGAAAGAUUUAUCGGCAAAUGAUCGGCCCGCGUUGGAUUAGCUAGUUGGUGGGGUGAAGGCCUACCAAGGCGACGAUCCAUGCUGG
rnacentral:ncRNA from 1 species